CUGUGAUGUUGUUGCAUCUCCCUCUCUGUAUAGCUUGUACCUCAUUGUCUUCUUCAUCUUCUCUCUCACAGGUAUAACAGACUCUUAAACCUGAUAGACAGUCUGGCCACCUGUAAUACCCCUCUAAUUUCUAUUGAGAACCCAUGGUAUUAUGGUUCAUUUAUGUGAGCAUAAGAAACUGCCUAUGCAAACUCUCUGUACUGACUAAAUUAAAGCUCAGACACACCYGUAGGAUUGUCAAAUGUUUGCCUGCCGACAGUACUUAGCACCUCUGAACAGAGUGUCGGAAGUCAAUCUCUUUUAUGUUCAAACAGCAAAGACCUUGGAAGUCGACAGCUUUUAUCCCCUCUAUACCUGCCUCCUACACAACAAACGCUGAGACAUACUGCAGUAUGAGCUCAGCAGCCAUCGCUGUAGCUGUCAUCCACCAAAAAAUGCAGUCUCAAAGUAGUGAUGUGGGUCAGAGCCCAGGGGAGGUUUAGCUGGUGGUAACUGGGCCCAGUCUGCAGCAGCAGCCCGGGGGUGUGCAUUCAUCUUAAGACCGCUAGGUGUGUGCGUGGAUCCUGUGCGUGGAGCAGUCAUUUGUGCAGCCUUUGGUAUCUGUGUGAUGCCCAGAUACUGAGAGCACAGUGGGCCCAUGGUCACUAGCAUUGUCCCAGACCCAGUACUUAUCCCCUGAUCCCAGAAACACCACCUAACUCUCUUUGCAUGUUCUCAGGGUGUGAUAGUUGGUGUGAAUGAGGACAUGGCCUACUCCUGGGAGUGAUGUGGGAGUGACUGCUUGGAGAUGGCACCCCAAAAGCUCUCCAACAGAGCACCAUCAUGUCUGUGUUGUACUCUGCAGCCUCUGGCUAUGAGGUUACAAGGUGGAGAAUGUGUUGGGGAGGGAGGUGGGCCCCAUCAGCGCUUACGUCCGUGUGGUCACCAGGAAACCUGCCCUGUGCAUCGGCCUGGAAGACAUCUGCCUCUGAGGCUGUCAAAGUGGGGAGUGGGACCCCAUGAAAUAAAUAUGUAAGACUGAGGCCUCCUCAGCCCAGCCCCACAAGCUCUCUCUGUACAGAAUGUGAAUAAUUGGUGAAAAAUAGAUCUGUUUGUGUGUUACUGAUGCGUUAGGACCCAGGAGCUGACAGCCCAAGGUUAGAACUGACAGACCAGAGGAGCAACAUAUGUCAAACUUGGCCCACGUGGGUCCAACUGGUGACUGUAAAAUAUGCCUGUUUGCUGUAAAUAGCCACACGUUUCUCUGUGUUUCCUUGAAUAUCUACCUCCUAAUAUAUCUCUGAAGAUGAAUGGUGCUUAUACUCAGUCAAU